GUUUGCCAUGAGCUCACUUUUCUCCCCACUGCUCUACUUCAUUCACAACAGCCCUAGCUUGUGCCGGGCUUUUGGGACUUGCUGCAACCAUUUUGGGUUUCUUUUUUUCAGUCAAAGUUUAAAAAUUUGGAAAAAUGCUAGAGCAGAAAUGUAUAAUCCUUACUUGUGCUUUUUUUUUUUUUUUUUUUUUUAAUAAUCUCUGAUUUACAGCCAUCUCUUUGGAUCUGCAGGAAGGGGUUUUAGGAGAAACCUAUUGUUUCCCCCCAACUUUUUGGAGCUGGCAUUACUGCUGGUACCUUUUUGAUCUAUGCAUGAAUACCUGCCUGGUUUUGUGCUCCUGUUUCCUCACUUGUCCAGACCACAUGAACUUGGAGCCAAAGCUAAUAAGCUUCUUUCUGUCCUAUAAAGAAUAAGUUGCCUACAGUGUUAGUGUGUCUUGCCUGUGGGAAACAGCUGUGUGGCCUGUAAAUCCCACUUGGCUGCUCCUGUGCCAGCUCGGUAACAGUGAUGGGGAUGCACAGGUGUCACGGCACAGCGGUGUGGUCCCCAGGCUGUCCUGGAACAUCCCUGGGCCUCCAGUCCCUUGAUUGCUCCUGAUUUAUGCACCACAGAGAGGAACGUGGUUUGGCUCAGAGGGAGCAGGAAUGGCGACUGAAGGAAAAAGGACUUCUCACUAAUGGCCAAUCUAAAGGAUUAGGACCGGGAUCAGAACAGCUGGAGAAUGAGAAGGACGAUGCAUCGCAAGUGUCCUCAACAAGCAACGAUGUUAGCUCUUCAGAUUUUGAAGAAGGGCCCUCAAGAAAAAGGUCAGUAGCGCUUUAUGAUUAAUGUAGUAGCCUUUCAGCUUUGUCCCUUUCCUGCUGUGAGGUUGCGGUUAUAUAAUCAGUAGGGCACAUUUGUAUAUACUACCUUACCGUAAACAGACUUUCCAGGAGUCCCUCUAGUAACAGUGAGGAUAUAGUGAGUUUUGGCUUCGUCCUUCAGUAUAGAUGGUACAAAUAGAUUGUGCUUGCUGCUGUUUUGGAAAACACAGAAAAGCAGUUGUUGUUUUGCAGUAGAGGAUUGCUAAAUUAAAUGCCCUAGUACUCUGCCCUUACCUCCUCACCUACAUUGGCCUCUCAGGGUCAUGUCAAUAAGUACGUGUGUGUAAUUUCAAGAAAAACAUUGCUG
rnacentral:lncRNA from 1 species